rnacentral:misc_RNA from 1 species
AAGGAUCAUUAUUGAAUAAACUUGGUUGGGUUGUUGCUGGCUCUCUGGAGCAAGUGCACGCCUAGCGCCAUUUUUAACCACCUGUGCACUUAUUGUAGACCUUGGAUAUCACUCGAGGAAACUCGGUUUGAGGACUGCUGUGCGAAAGCCAGCUUGCCUUACAUUUCCAGGUCUAUGUUUUUAAUAUACCCCCAAUGAAUGUUACAGAAUGUCUUUUAUUUGGCCUUUUAGUGCCUUUAAAUCAAAUACAACUUUCAACAACGGAUCUCUUGGCUCUC